rnacentral:rRNA from 1 species
CGAGGGUGCAAGCGUUAAUCGGAAUUACUGGGCGUAAAGCGAGUGUAGGCGGCUAUUUAAGUCGGAUGUGAAAGCCCCGGGCUCAACCUGGGAAUUGCAUUCGAAACUGAAUAGCUAGAGUUUGGUAGAGGUAAGUGGAAUUCCGGGUGUAGCGGUGAAAUGCGUAGAUAUCCGGAGGAACAUCAGUGGCGAAGGCGGCUUACUGGACCAAAACUGACGCUGAGGCUCGAAAGCGUGGGGAGCAGACAGGAUUAGAUACCCGAGUAGUCC